UGAGGAAUAUUGGUCAAUGGGCGCGAGCCUGAACCAGCCAAGUCGCGUGCGGGAUGAAGGCCCUCCGGGUCGUAAACCGCUUUUAGACGGGGAUAAAAGGGCGUACGUGUACGCCGUAUUGCAUGUACCGUCAGAAAAAGGACCGGCUAAUUCCGUGCCAGCAGCCGCGGUAAUACGGAAGGUCCGGGCGUUAUCCGGAUUUAUUGGGUUUAAAGGGAGCGUAGGCGGACUUUCAAGUCAGUGGUAAAAUCGUGUGGCUCAACCAUACCUCGCCAUUGAAACUGGAAGUCUGGAGUGCACACAGGGGUGCCGGAAUUCAUGGUGUAGCGGUGAAAUGCUUAGAUAUCAUGAAGAACUCCGAUCGCGAAGGCAAGUGCCCGGGGUGCAACUGACGCUGAGGCUCGAAGGUGCGGGUAUCGAACAGGAUUAGAUACC
rnacentral:rRNA from 1 species